UGAAUACGAGAUGCUACGGCGUCGAAGCAGUCUAUGUCAUACUUCCAAGAAAAGCUUGCACUGUCAUAAACAAAUAAUGCCUGUACCAUAACCGACACAGGUGGGUAGGUAGAGUAUACUAAGGGGCGCGAGAUAACUCUCUCUAAGGAACUCGGCAAAAUGCCUCCGUAACUUCGGGAGAAGGAGUGCCUUAUUUAUAAGGUUGCAAUAACAAGAUCCAAGCAACUGUUUACCAAAAACACAGGUCUCCGGUAAGUCGUAAGACGAUGUAUGGGGGCUGACGCCUGCCCAGUGCCAGAAGGUUAAAGAAGUUGGUUAGCAUCCGCGAAGCUGAUAACUGAAGCCCUGGUGAACGGCGGCCGUAACUAUAACGGUCCUAAGGUAGCGAAAUUCCUUGUCGGGUAAGUUCCGACCCGCACGAAAGGCGUAAUGAUUUGGAUACUGUCUCGGAGAGGGGCUCGGUGAAAUAGACUUGUCUGUGGAGAUGCGGACUACCUGCACCAGGACAGAAAGACCCUAUGAAGCUUUACUGUAGCCUGAAAUUGAAAUUGGACUUUACUUGCCAGUAUAGGUGGGAGGCGUUGAGAAUAUUCUUGCGGGAUUAUUGGAGCCAUCAGUGAGAUACCACUCUUGUAAUGUUAGAUUUCUAACUUUGUAUCAUUAUCUGGUCAAAGAACAGUUUCAGGCGGGCAGUUUGACUGGGGCGGUCGCCUCCUAAACGGUAACGGAGGCGCACAAAGGUUUCUCUGAACGGGUAGAAAUCGUAUCUAGAGUGUAAAGGCAUAAGGAAGCUUGACUGUGAGACCUACAAGUCGAGCAGGGACGAAAGUCGGUCUUAGUGAUCUGACGGUGCUGAGUGGAAAGGCCGUCACUCAACGGAUAAAAGUUACUCUAAGGAUAACAGGCUGAUCUCCCCCAAGAGUUCACAUCGACGGGGAGGUUUGGCACCUCGAUGUCGGCUCAUCGCAUCCUGGGGCGGUAGUACGUCCCAAGGGUUGGGCUGUUCGCCCAUGAAAGCGGUACGCGAGCUGGGUUCAGAACGUCGUGAGACAGUUCGGUCCAUAUCCGGUGUAGGCGUUAGAAUAUUGAGAGGAGCCUUCUUUAGUACGAGAGGACCGAGAAGGACAUACCUCUGGUGUACCAGUUAUCGUGCCAACGGUAAACGCUGGGUAGCUAUGUGUGGAGUGGAUAACCGCUGAAAGCAUCUAAGUGGGAAGCCCACCUCAAGAUAAGUAUUCUCA
rnacentral:rRNA from 1 species